rnacentral:lncRNA from 1 species
GGAUGGCAAAAUAACUAAAUAGGAUGUUUAGUGAAAUGACAGAGGGACAUGUUGCUUUUUGACAUGUGAAAGUUCUUUACAAGAUUGCAUUUUCUGAUUCUGGGUGUGGAAGAACACAUGUGCCAAGGGCCUGCCACAGCCCAGAGUCCCAGUUCAGGCAGCAGCCCACACAAGUCCCCACCUGUCCUGAUCUUCCUGUGCUUCCCUGCAGCACUGUGAGUUCCGGAUGCGUGGACACUACCACUGCCUCCGGACUGGCUGCUACUUCGUCACCAACAUCACCACCAAGCUGCCCUGGCACAUAAAGAAGCAUGAGAAAGCUGAGCGGCGGGCAGCCAACGGAUUCAAAUACUUCACCAAGCGCGAGGAGUGCGGCAGGCUAGGUACUAAGCCAGGGUGGGUAGGGACUUCUAGCAGGUACAGGCCAGUUGUCAAAUUCACAAGGUGUCAAACCUGAAACAUCCCAGGGAAGAGGACGAGAGUCACUCUGGCCUCCUCCAUGCAAGCAGGAUGCCCUGGAGCCUCACUGCCGGCAGUCAUGGCUUAGCUUGAUUCUUUUCCCCUUUCCAGAGGGCAGGCAGGUGAGCUUCUCAGGGGUUUGGAAAUCACUCGCCCUGGGUUGCUUUCCAUAGCUUCAACUGUAGGGUUUUGUUUAAAAUGUGCCAUGGUGUGUUCGUUCAUUCAGCAGUAAUUUACUGAAAAACAACUGUGUGCCAGUGCUAUUGCAGGGACACGGGAGUGGUGACAGUGGCAGCAGCUAAGAGUUUUUGAGUGUCCGGUAUGUGCUGGCAUUGGACUUGGUGCUGGAAACCUGGCGAAGAUGUGUGGGCUCAGCUGGAGAAUCUGAUUGGCAGGAUACUCAGGAAGGAAGUAGCCAUGGGUCUGAGAAGAAGAGGUCACCCGCAGCCCUGAGCUUGGUGAUAGAUGCUGAGAUCUGAGCCCCACAGGGAACAGGGCCUCCUUCCGGGGAUGCCCAAUGGGAUUGGGGCUCUAGGGUCAGCAGGCAGAGAGGAAAGCCCACCCUCCUGCCUCAGGAUGGAGCCCCGUGUUCAUAAGCCUGUUGAUGAUGGGAAUCAUCGGGAAUAGACUGGGAUGGGAAUCUCCCUGGGAAUAGACUGGAAGCUGAAGGAAAGGCAGGAGAAGGUGUCAGCAUGGACACCUGGGCUGCGGGCUACAGGCCAGGCCGGCUGUGGCCUGUGGUCAUGGUUUCAGGGGCUGGUGGCAGAGGGAGGCUGCAGGCAGGCCCUUCCACAGAGGAAGGGAAAGAUACUCAUCAACUGCCAGAAAAGAAAGGAAACAAAUCUUUCCUUCAAGUAUUAAUUCAAAAAGGAUUCAUGGCCAGGAGAGGGCUGGUAACCAUGGUGACAGGUGUCAACACUCAGAAGUCCAUGUUGUCGCGGGGCUCAGUUUACAGAUGUCAGGGUAUUCUGAAGUUGCCGUUAUUUACUCAACUUUUGGUGUUUUUGGUGGUAGCUGGGGCCAAACAAAGCCGGGGGAUGAUAUAAGACACCUGGCCAGCUCGGUGCCAUGGUGACGGGCAGGCCUUCACCUGCCCUCAGCUGAUGCUGUUUUGGCCCCACCUGUUCUGUUUGUUCUCAGCCUGGAGCAAAGGAGAGACAUGGGGGCAGGGUGGAGGCUGGCUGCCACACCCACCAGCCCAGGUCCCCAGAGAAGGUGUUGGGGACAGGUGGCAUGCUGUGGACAGGGCCCACUAGGUUUCCUUCCCACAGUAUGUGGGCAGGGAGUGGGUUUGGACAGCCUUCGUAGCCUUGGACUUCCUGCAGGUGGCUGAUCGUAAGCUUUCCUUGGAGAAAUGCAGUUCAGGGUGCACAUGCCACUGGCCUUGUCGAUCACUCCCUGUGCCCAGAACAGUGUGCUCAACACACACUGGCUGUGAGCACUGGCUGGCUGGGGAGGCUUAUGCAGGUGGGGGCCGUGUCCACAGGCUGCAAGUACAACCAGGUGAACAGCCACUUCCACUGCAUCCGGGAGGGCUGCCAGUUCUCCUUCCUCCUGAAGCACCAGAUGACCUCCCACGCCCGGAAGCACAUGCGCAGGAUGCUCGGGAAGAACUUUGAUCGCGUGCCCCCCUCCCAGGUGAGUGCCUCAAGCAGGCCUGUGGGUGGCUCCACCAACCCCCCGGGAGGCUCUGCUGCCCCUAGCGAAGGCAGCAGGCAGCUCCUCAGGCACCCUGCUUCCUCCCAGGGCCCCCCAAGCCUGAUGGAUGCUGAGACAGAUGAGGGCAUGGACUACACCGGCUGCAGCCCGGGUGCCGCCUCCUCCGAGUCCUCUACCAUGGAUCGCAGCUGCUCCAGCACCCCCGUGGGCAACGAGAGCACAGCGGCAGGUGAGCGCAGGACCCCUGCCUCCAGCCCCGCUUUGCCGCGUCCAUCCUGGACACAAGGUUCACAGUGAGGUGGCCCUGAGGAGGACAGGCUGGUGUGCAGUGGACCAGCUGGUGUGUGGGAUGUGGGACACUGAGGCCACCUCCUACCAUCCUGCCACCUCCCCAGCACUCUGCCUUGUGCUUCAGUUUCCAGGAGAGGAGCCUGGGCCUGUCCUCCAGAGUUCCAGGAAGGCAGUACAGCCCAGCCCUCCGGCCUGCCCUGGCCCCCCUCAGGCCCUGGCCCCGCUCAGGCCCUGGCCCACUGCAGCCUGGGCCUGGGGUCCAAGAGAGGCGCCCGCCUGCCAGGCCCGCCCUGACCGCUCACAGCCGCCCUGCGGCCUCCCUCCUCUCGCUCCUCUGUCUGCUCCUCUGUCCAGUGUCUCCCACCUGCUCCACCAUUGGUUUCUCAUUUUGGUUCUUUUUGUUUGUUUGUUCUUUGUUUUGGUUCUUUUUUUUUUUUUUCUCUGCUUUUCUCCACCUUCUCCAGGCGGCCCGGCUCCUCCUCCUCCUCCUCUUCCUCCUCCUGCUGCCACUGGUGACGAGGCCACCCGUGGGGCCCCAUGGCCCCCCCUGACUCCACCCUUCCCGCCGGCUGCGCUCCGGCCGCCCCUCCCCCCCCUCCCAUGCCUCUUCUCUCCGUCCUGUCUCUCAUACUCUCUGCUCAGUGCCACUCUGGGAGCCAGUCGCGGCCUGGCCCACCCCAUCAGCAGCCCGCCCAGCUUCCCGCCUGUCACUGCCACUCCAACUCCAGUAAAAAGUGACGUCCCCCUAGUUCAGGACGCCGCAGGUAACUCGCACACACAUUCUCAGCAGUAUCUGUCACCCCACCCGAUCCUUGAGACUGUGGUCCAGGACCUGACCCUUUUCUGUGGCCAGCUCAGUCAAGGACAGGUGUUUUUGGUGGUAGCUGGGGCCAAACAAAGCUGCAUCCUGAUGGCCAAGCACUCCUGAGACCAGAAAGCCUGGCUCCUAUCCCAAAGACAGCUCCUUGUGACUCCUGCUCAGACCAGAGCAUUGCUGCCAGCCAUUUGCCCCUGCUCAGCAACUGGUCAGCCCAGAGUAGGCAUGCCAGAUUCCAGCUGGCUGCUCAGGGUGGCCUCACCUUGGGCCUGGGCAGAACAGAGCCUGUCCCUGUGGCUCUCAGGUGUUCAGCUUCCCACCCAGAUUCGAGGGUCUUGAUCUGGCCCCACCCCUCCCUUAAAGCUGAGCCAGGGGAAGAAACCUCUGGAGCCUCAGGCCUCGGGCUGUGCUCUGUGAUAGAAGCUCUUCCUGCCCCAACUCCAUAUCUGGAGUCCCACGGGGAGGGUCUGCUGGCCCCUCACCUUGCAGACGGCAUACCACCUUCCAUGCAUUGUCACCUCACAUUGUGCCUGAGCAUGGCUUUGUGCCAGGCCCCGGUGGCUGUGGCAGUAAGUACAUGGGUUCUGCCCAUUGAGAGCUGUCACCCUGUGACUUCAGACCCAAGAACACAUCAUCCCUGGUGGAUUUCCAGGCCUGAGGCUCUCCCAUGGCCCCUGCCUAGUGCCCCCACCCCAUUCCAGCCCUCAGUUUCUCUUCAUCUGCCAAGGGUGGGUGACUGGGCCUGUUCUCCAAAUCCGCAAGGCAGUAAUUUGGUGCACAGAGCGGUGGCCAGGCAUUCUGGCAGACUCAGAAGGGCCAUGGCCCUCGGCCAGCACAGGGAGCAGCCUGGAGGAUGUCCCCCUCUGGUGGGUCUGGGCCUUGGGUCCCUUAUUUCUGGGGAGUGCUGCCUCCCCCCUGUGUAGCCAGUGGGUGCCUUCUGAAAAGGGUGAGGAAGCAAGCCCUUGGCAGUGGGCUCCUAAGUCCUGGGAAGCAUUCUGGGCCAGCCUGGGCACUGAUUGGGUGCCUGUCCUGUAGCUAAGCCCUUGUCUAGAUCUGGCCCAGCGAGGAGACUCUGAGCAGGGGGUUGGUAUCUUUUUGGUAUUUAGUUCCUGAGGCCUGGCCUAGGAGGCCCACUAGGGGCAGAAACCUUAAGACCUUAAAGAGCCUUCUGGAACCAAGGAGAAGGUGCUCCUCAGGGCAGUUACAGCCCCAGAUGGCCUAGGGCACUUGGCAUCCCGGCUGUGGUAGGCAGGUCCCCGUGCAGACAGGCAGGCAGCCCGGGGAACUGGUUUGCCCGCGGCGGGAAAGGAGCCGGCCUGUCCCUCAUUAGAGGCAGGCGUGUGAUGGGCCCUGGCCCCCCUCCAACUUGGGUAAUUACACUCUGCGACCUAGAUUCUCCCUUCAGCUUCAAUUAGCACCAGGACAGGUCCUCACUUCCUACCCAAACUGGUCAGGAAGCAGCCACCACAUCCCGGCAGAGCUGCUUGGUCUGCCACCCAGGGAGGGAUGCACGUGUGGUCGUCUGCAGGUCUGGAUGACAAGGGAAACCUGGGACUCCUUUGCUGUUCUGGGGGUGGGGAGAGGCGCCCUGGCCACCAGACCAGGGUCAGGGCCCUGUGUGAGUGUGACCCUGGCAAAAGAGGCAGCCUUCUGCACUGACUGCCCUGUGCCCCUUCCCCAGGGAAUACCAUCUCCAUGCCCACAGCCUCCGGUGCCAAAAAGCGCUUCUGGAUCAUCGAGGACAUGUCGCCCUUCGGCAAGCGGCGGAAGACGGCCUCCUCGCGCAAGAUGCUGGACGAGGGCAUGAUGCUGGAGGGCUUCCGGCGCUUCGACCUCUAUGAGGACUGCAAGGACACGGCCUGCCAGUUCUCGCUCAAGGUCACCCACUACCACUGCACGCGUGAGAACUGCGGCUACAAGUUCUGCGGGCGCACGCACAUGUACAAGCACGCGCAGCACCACGACCGCGUGGACAACCUGGUGCUGGACGACUUCAAGCGCUUCAAGGCCUCGCUCAGCUGCCACUUCGCCGACUGCCCCUUCUCGGGCACCAGCACGCACUUCCACUGCCUGCGCUGCCGCUUCCGCUGCACCGACAGCACCAAGGUCACGGCGCACCGCAAGCACCACGGCAAGCAGGACGUGAUCAGCGCGGCGGGCUUCUGCCAGUUCAGCUCGAGCGCCGACUGCGCGGUGCCGGACUGCAAGUACAAGCUCAAGUGCUCGCACUUCCACUGCACCUACCCGGGCUGCCGCCACACGGUCGUGGGCAUGUCGCAGAUGGACUCGCACAAGCGCAAGCACGAGAAGCAGGAGCGCGGCGAGCCGCCCGCCGCCUCGCCCGGCGCGCCCGUCAGCCUGGACGGCUCGCUCACGCUGGCCGCCGAGCCCGGGGGCUCGCUGCUCUUCCUGCAGACGGCCGCCGCCGGCCUGG